GGUGAACGCUAGCGGCAGGCUUAAUACAUGCAAGUCGAGGGGCAACAGGGGUAGCAAUACCUGCUGGCGACCGGCAAACGGGUGCGGAACACGUACAGAACCUUCCUUUAAGCGGGGGAUAGCCCAUAGAAAUGUGGAUUAAUACCCCAUAGUAAUGUUGAGUGGCAUCACAUGACAUUUAAAGAUUUAUCACUUAAAGAUGGCUGUGCGGCUGAUUAGGUAGUUGGNGGGGUAACGGCCCACCAAGCCAGCGAUCAGUAACUGGUGUGAGAGCACGACCAGUCACACGGGCACUGAGACACGGGCCCGACUCCUACGGGAGGCAGCAGUAAGGAAUAUUGGUCAAUGGACGCAAGUCUGAACCAGCCAUGCCGCGCGGAGGAUUAA
rnacentral:rRNA from 1 species